rnacentral:lncRNA from 1 species
AAUUUUUUUUAUUAAUUACGUUAGUGCUUCCAUUUAUUUUUUAGUUGACGCCAUUAACAAAAACUGACUGUUUUACCUCAGGACAUUGUUAAACGAUGCCGUUUUAAUGUUACAAUAGAGGUUUGAUUAAAACGGUGCCGUUUUGGCUAUCACAACUUCCUCUUGAAUUCAUCUUCACACCAGAAGAGGAAGAAACUUUUUUCAUAGGUGCCGUUUAUGAAAGGAGAAAAUGGAGGCACUGUUGGAGACAGAGAUCCUUAGAUAACAGAAGAGAAGCUCGACACGAGAUAGAUCUAGAGGUAGCAACCGAUCUAGGGACAGUAACACUGGGCAGAGGUGGCUAGCAAGCUUGAGGCGGUGCCGAUUGGCCGACGUAGGAUUCAAUCACUGAUUCGAGGAGGACUAGAGAGGUGACGCAAGAUUAACCUCAGUGAGCGAAAGAAUUGGUGUUUUCCUUGGCAUUGUAGAAUGCAUUAUCAGCAAAACGCUUGGCAUCCUCUAGUGUGACUCCAGCGUCUUCAACAACAACAACAUCACUCGAACUCCGGCACAUUCUUACACACAUAAUCAUACAUACAAUCCCCACUUACAAGCCAAAAAAGAGGAAGAGCAUCGAAGAUUCUGGUGGUAAUGUGAAGAGACUUGAGCAUUAGAUUGAAGGCAAAAUCCAUCACCUAAAACAGGACGUAAGAAAGUUAGUGGCUAUGAAGUUUCAGGUGGGGUUUUUG